ACCUGAGCUUCCAUUUCACGGUCAGACAGGCCACCGCAGAUUUGGAUAAUACGGUCAGACAGCGUCGAUUUACCGUGGUCAAUGUGAGCAAUGAUCGAAAAGUUACGUAUGUUCUUCAUAGAGAUAAAUUAUUAUGCCUUACGCCUGGUUGACCAGACUUUAGAGGUCGCUGUUCUGAGCUUAACGUCUGUUUUAACUGAAACGCCGCAUUCUACACUACAACGCUAAGGCGAGGAAAUGUUCAUAGUGUAAGGAGAGCGGGAACUGGAAAACGCCUCGCUUUUUUCCUGUAAAACACCGCAACGCAGGAAAAGCGCAUGCUUAUCGGGACAACAACCCAACGCGGCAGGUGUACCAUGUACCAUUGGGCAAAACGUUUACUGGCGCGUUUCGAUUGAGGUAGUUUCGACGCGGACAAGGUCAGGCGGGAGGGCAACGUUUAAAAUCACGGGCUGCCAGGCGUCGCGCUCCGCCAGUUUUCGGGAAUAGCCGCGGGCAACCAGAAAACCGCCCACUCCGCCCAGCACGGCCCCGCUUAAUGCGGCAAGGUCAGAUCCAAACAGCAUCUGAAAAAGCGCCGCACAAAGAAAUAGCCCCGCUAAAGGCGACAUAUAGACCAGCAACGCCGAACCUAAAAGGCUUUUUUCGGCGAUGCCCAACUCGACUUUCUGCCCCGGAGCCAGCGGCUCCGCGCUUGGCACAACAAUGGUAUGCGUGGUUUGCGGCCCUAAUUUAUUCAGCACGCGACUGCCGCAUCCCGCACGGGAGGCGCAGCUGCUGCAUGACGCUUUAACGUCGCAGCUCACCACCGCCUGACCAUUCUGCCAGGAGAUAACGGUUGCCCACUCUUUAAUCAUUGUACUGCCCUGAAUUUGAUACUGUCGGCAAUGCGC
rnacentral:ncRNA from 27 species